AGAGUUUGAUCCUGGCUCAGGAUGAACGCUGGCGGCGUGCCUAACACAUGCAAGUCGAGCGAGAUGCUCAUGAUGAUUUCUUCGGAUGACUUAUUGAUCGUAAAGCGGCGGACGGGUGAGUAACGCGUGGGCAACCUGCCCUUCACAGAGGGAUAGCCUCUGGAAACCGGUAUUAAAACCUCAUAAUGCCCCUGAAACACAUCUUCGGGGGGACAAAAAUUUAUCGGUGAAGGAAGGGCCUGCCUCUGAUUAAUUCGUUGGGGGGGUAACCGCCUCCCCAGGCCACGAUCCGUAGCCCACCUGAAAGGGUGAUCCGGCCCCUUGGAACUGAAACCCGGUCCCAACUCCUACCGGAAGCAACAGUGGGGAAAAUUGCCCAAUGGGGGAAACCCUGAUGCAGCAACGCCGCGUGAAGGAAGAAGGCCUUCGGGUCGUAAACUUCUGUCCUUGGGGAAGAAACGCCUGACGGGACCCUUACAGGACCCCCCUGCUAACUCCCUGCCAACUACCUCCCUACUACCUAGGGAGCACGCGUUGUCCAAACUUAUUGCGCAUAAACAGUACGUAGGCGGAUCUCUAACCGCACGGCUUAACGCAAUGGCUCACCCAUUGCUCACCCUGUGAACUGCAUGACAUGAUUAUCAUAUAGAAAGGCGGAAUUCCUAGCGUAGUUCUUAAAUGCGUAGAUAUUAGCAUGAACAUCAGUAGCAACGGCGGCUUUCAGGACGACUACUGACACUGAAGUACAAAAGCAUGCUCGACAGACAGGAUAACAUACCCUAUUAGACCCCCUCGUAAACCACGAGCACUACGUGUCGGGGCCGCAGUGGUCCGGCACCCAUGUCCACCCCUCAGUGCUCCCCCUGGGA
rnacentral:rRNA from 1 species